rnacentral:lncRNA from 1 species
CAUGUUCCACAAGCUUCUUAUUCAACUUUACCUGUCCUCUACCCCGUCUCUCAGUGCAUCGCUUUUUUUCCUGUACUGUGUUAAGGCUGACUGUGUGCUUGGGGCCUGAGCAUUGGUGUUUUAAGAAAUUCCCCAGGAAAUUCUGAUGUACAGUUUGUGUUGAGGAGCAGUCAUCUACAGAAACCCUGCCAGCAUCUGAACUUCAGCAGGGAGAAUCUGCUGCAGUAAAGGAAAUACAUCCCUUCCAUUGUUCUGAAUAUUCUGCAUCCUGUGGUCCCUGCUAAUGUUUCCCAUCUGGAGUCCUUUGUAACUCAUUCUGCUCCAUUAGGAUCUGAUAUCCCACCUGUGGACUAUUGACUCGGACCACAAUGAUAACUUGUGAUAAUCUCAGCUGCAUUCACUUUAAUACUUGGCAUGCAGCACCUAGCUUCUGUGUACCUGUUUGUGUAGCUAGGGCUGUCAGACUCUAGGGAUUGAGCUGUGAAUAGCUUCAAAAGUCAGACUGCAGAAUUAGGACUCCUUCAGAUUGGCUACUGUCACCUUCAUGGUAUCACCACCAAGUCCUGCUGAGGAUGAACUGCACUUUCAAGAAUGCCCUUCCUUGUAGAGUUUUGGGUUAGUUUGCCUGAAAGAGCAGAAGGUGGAAAUGCCACGGUCAUUCUUCUCAGAGGAUUCAGAGAGCAGACCUAGCAGGCUCCCAGACCUCUUUUCAAUACCUUCUUGGUUUCAGGGUUGGAGAAUCCCCUGUUCCAGGACACCAGCUCUCAUUCCAAACUGUACAAGGUGCCUUGCCCAAUGAGCAGUGGAUCCCAUCCCCCAGGAUUUUCAAACAGCAUCUGUAGACACCCCAAUCAGAGAUCCAGUACUAGGUGGAGCCCCUCAUUCCAGGUGGUGCCUAAGCCAAUAUGAAGUCAUCAUGUCGGCUUCAAUCCAGGCUGCCCAAGGUCCUAGGCAAGAGGGAUCAAAGGGACAAACACCAAGUGUGAAGAUGAAAGUUGACCUGGAAACCCUGUGUCCCAGCAUGCUGGGAGGCCAGGCUGCCCUUUGCCCAUGGGUCAGGGAGGAAGACUCACAAAAACCCAUAGGCCAGACUGCAAGCACAUCUCUUCCUCAGCAUGACCUCUGAGCUCUCCUCUCACCCAGUGCCUUUAAGGACAGCUUUCUCUUGGCCCUCAGGCCCUCUUUGGGUUCAGGAAGCUCAAGGUCAUUGGGGGGGCCAGAAAUCAAGCAUUACCUCUGGCCUUUGAAGACCAUGGACAAGUCAUCAUCUCCUGAGCUUGGCGGACUGAAGGUGCAUCACUGUGAAACCCCUAAACUUAUCACAGGGUGGGGCACAGAGGAAGACAUCUCAGCUCCUAAUCCUCAAAGAAUAAAUUGAUAGUAGUUUGCUUUGAGGAUGAGGGAGAGGAGAACCAUAUUCAGAGGAAUCCAAGGAGGAGAGACACAACAUGACAGGCUAGGAACUGGGGAAUAUAACUGAAUUUUAAACCUGGGUCAGCAUCUGUAUCCCUUAUUGAAUCCUAAUGAUGUCCAAUGUGGUGGCCCUGGGAUUAUUCCAUGUCAUAGUGGAAUGAGACAGAUGAGGCUAAGUUUGAGUGACUUGCCUAAAGUUAUGGCUUUGGCAUAUGGCAAAGCCAGGAUGUGGACUCAGACCUGCCUACUUGACAUAGAAGCACAGUCAUAUCCAUGUUCUAGAAAUUUCCCUACUCCCUGGAGAGUACUAGAGGGGCUGGCAGUAGAGGCAGAGAGAUCAGUCAACACUCUGCUGCAGUAGUUUUAAGUAGCUAAGAUAAUCUCUCAAGUCACUGGAUCAGAUGUGCAAAACAU